rnacentral:rRNA from 1 species
UACGUAGGGUGCUAGCGUUGUUCGGAAUCAUUGGGCGUAAAGCGCGUGUAGGCGGCUAGUAAAGUUGGGUGUGAAAUCCCUGGGCUCAACCGAGGAAGUGCAUCCAAAACUAAUUAGCUAGAGAGUGGUAGAGGGAGGUGGAAUUCCGUGUGUAGAGGUGAAAUUCGUAGAUAUACGGAGGAAUACCGGUGGCGAAGGCGGCCUCCUGGACCAUUUCUGACGCUGAGACGCGAAAGCGUGGGGAGCAAACAGG